rnacentral:rRNA from 1 species
GAUGAACGCUGGCGGCGUGCCUAACACAUGCAAGUCGAACGGAAGGACCCUAAGCUUGUGCCCUUACUGUUUGCGGAGGGCGGGUGGGUCACGCGUGGAUCACCUCCUUCUUUUUCGGGGAUAAUUACGGAAAUCAGGAGAUUAUACUAGAGCAUAUUAUGAACCGUAGGGUGCAAAGGAAAUUGACGGCCUUGGCGUCUGUACUAGCCGGUUCCGCGCUGCAUUAGCUAGUUGGUAAGGUAACGGCUUACCAAGGAUACGAUGCAUAGCCGACCUGAGAGGGUGAUCGGCCACACUGGAACUGAGACACGGUCCAGACUCCUACGGGAGGCAGCAGUAGGGAAUCUUCCGCAAUGGGCGAAAGCCUGACGGAGCAACGCCGCGUGAGUGAUGAAGGUCUUCGGAUCGUAAAACUCUGUUAUUAGGGAAGAACAUAUGUGUAAUUAACCGUGCACAUCUUGACGGUACCUAAUCAGAAAGCCACGGCUAACUACGUG